CUCAGGAUGAACGCUAGCUACAGGCUUAACANAUGCAAGUCGAGGGGAAACGAUAUUGGAAGCUUGCUUCCGAUAGGCGUCGACCGGCGCACGGGUGAGUAACGCGUAUCCAACCUGCCCGUCACUUGGGAAUAACCUUGCGAAAGUAAGACUAAUACCCCAAUGACGUCUCUAGAAGACAUCUGAAAGAGAUUUAAAGAUUUAUCGGUGAUGGAUGGGGAUGCGUCUGAUUAGCUUGUUGGCGGGGUAACGGCCCACCAAGGCGACGAUCAGUAGGGGUUCCUGAGAGGAAGGUCCCCCACAUUGGAACUGAGACACGGUCCAAACUCCUACGGGAGGCAGCAGUGAGGAAUAUUGGUCAAUGGGCGAGAGCCUGAACCAGCCAAGUAGCGUGCAGGAUGACGGCCCUAUGGGUUGUAAACUGCUUUUAUAAGGGAAUAAAGUGAGCCUCGUGAGGCUUUUUGCAUGUACCUUAUGAAUAAGGACCGGCUAAUUCCGUG
rnacentral:rRNA from 1 species